GCUGUCACUGUUUGCAGAUGACAUGAUACUAUACAUAGAGAAUCCUAAAGAUGCUACCAGAAAACCGCUAGAGCUAAUUAAUGAAUUUGGUAAAGUAGCAGGAUACAAAAUUAAUGCACAGAAAUCUCUGGCAUACCUAUACACUAAUGUGGAAAAAUCUGAAAGUGAAAUUGAGAAAACACUCCCAUUUACCAUUGCAACAAAAAGAAUAAGAUAUCUAGGAAUAAACCUACCUAAGGAGACAAAAGACCUGUAUGCAGAAAAUUAUAAGACACUGAUGAAAGAAAUUAAAGAUGAUACAAAUAGAUGGAGACAUAUACCAUGUUCUUGGAUUGGAAGAAUCAACAUUGUGAAAAUGACUCUACUACCCAAAGCAAUCUACAGAUUCAAUGCAAUCCCUAUCAAACUACCACUGGCAUUUUUCACAGAACUAGAACAAAAAAUCUCACAAUUUGUAUGGAAACACAAAAGACCCCCGAAUAGCCAAAGCAAUCUUGAGAAUGAAAAAUGGAGCUGGAGGAAUCAGGCUACCUGACUUCAGACUAUACUACAAAGCUACAGUAAUCCAGACAGUAUGGUACUGGCACAAAAACAGAAAGAUAGAUCAAUGGAACAGGAUAGAAAGCCCAGAGAUAAACCCACGCACAUAUGGUCACCUUAUCUUUGAUAAAGGAGGCAGGAAUGUAUGGUGGAGAAAGGACAGCCUCUUCAGUAAGUGGUGCUGGGAAAACUGGACAGGUACAUGUAAAAGUAUGAGAUUAGAUCACUCCCUAACACCAUACACAAAAAUAAUCUCAAAAUGGAUUAAAGACCUAAAUGUAAGGCCAGAAACUAUCAAACUCUUAGAGGAAAACAUAGGCAGGACACUCUAUGACAUAAAUCACAGCAAGAUCCUUUUUGACCCACCUCCUAGAGAAAUGGAAAUAGAAACAAAAAUAAACAAACGGGACCUAAUGAAACUUCAAAGCUUUUGCACAGCAAAGGAAACCAUAAACAAGACCAAAAGACAACCCUCAGAAUGGGAGAAAAUAUUUGCAAAUGAAGCAACUGACAAAGUAUUAAUCUCCAAAAUUUAUAAGCAGCUCAUGCAGCUCAAUAACAAAAAUACAAACAACCCAAUCCAAAAAUGGGCAGAAGACCUAAAUAGACAUUUUUCCAAAGAAGAUAUACAGACUGCCAAGAAACACAUGAAAGAAUGCUCAACAUCAUUAAUCAUUAGAGAAAUACAAAUCAAAACUACAAUGAGAUAUCAUCUCACACCAGUCUGAAUGGCCAUCAUCAAAAACUCUAGAAACAAUAAAUGCUGGAGAGGGUGUGGAGAAAAGAGAACACUCUUGCACUGCUGGUGGGAAUGUGAAUUGGUACAGCCACUAUGGAGAACAGUAUGGAGGUUCCUUAAAAAACUACAAAUAGAACUACCAUAUGACCCAGCAAUCCCACUACUGGGCAUAUACCCUGAGAAAACCAUAAUUCAAAAAGAGUCACGUACCAAAAUGUUCAUUGCAGUUCUAUUUACAAUAGCCCAGAGAUGGAAACACCCUAAGUGUCCAUCAUCGGAUGAAUGGAUAAAGAAGAUGUGGCACAUAUAUACAAUGGAAUAUUACUCAGCCAUAAAAAGAAAUGAAAUUGAGCUAUUUUUAAUGAGGUGGAUAGACCUAGAGUCUGUCAUACAGAGUGAAGUAAGUCAGAAAGAGAGAGACAAAUACCAUAUGCUAACACAUAUAUAUGGAAUUUAAGGAAAAAAAUGUCAUGAAGAACCUAGGGGUAAGACAGGAAUAAAGACACAGACCUACUAGAGAAUGGACUUGAGGAUAUGGGGAGGGGGAAGCGUAAGCUGUGACAAA